GACGAACGCUGGCGGCGUGCUUAACACAGAAUGAAGAAACGAGUGGCGAAAGGGUGAGUAACGCGUAAUAAACCUGCCCUUCAGAGGGGGACAACAGGUGGAAACGAAUGCUAAUACCUAAUACUGUGAGAGAGCUUUGCGUCACGUUAGCGAGUUGGAGAUGUAACGGCUCACCAAGGCGAUGAUGGAUAGCCUGCCUGAGAGGGUGAUCGGCCCAAAGGGGACUGAGAUACGGCCCUUACUCCUACGGGAGGCAGCAGUGGGGAAUAGUGGACAAUGGACCAAAGUCUGAUCCAGGAAUUCUGUGUGCAAGAUGAAGUUGUCGGAAUGUAAAGUGCUUUCAGUUGGGAAGCGGUACCAACAGAAGAAGUGACGGCUAAAUACGUGCCAGCAGCCGCGGUAAUAC
rnacentral:rRNA from 1 species